rnacentral:rRNA from 1 species
UAUUCACUUACUUACUAUUGUGUGUUGGUCGUUUACUGUGAGAAAAUUAGAGUGUUCAAAGCAGGCGUUUGCUUGAAUAGAUUAGCAUGGAAUAAUAAUUGAAGGCUUUCGUGUUCGAUUUGAUUGGUUUGUUCAUGGAAGCAAGGUUAAAAGGAACAGUUGGGGGUAUUCAUAUUCACUAGUUAGAGGUGAAAUUCUCGGAUUUAUGGAAGAUGAACAAGUGCGAAAGCAUUUACCAAGGAUGUUUUCAUUAAUCAAGAACGAAAGCUAGGGGAUCGAAGAGG